rnacentral:rRNA from 1 species
GACGAACGCUGGCGGCGCGCCUAACACAUGCAAGUCGAACGGAGCUGCGAGAAGCUUGCUUUUCUUAGCUUAGUGGCGAACGGGUGAGUAACGCGUGAGUAACCUGCCCUGGAGUGGGGGACAACAGUUGGAAACGACUGCUAAUACCGCAUAAGCCCACGAUCCGGCAUCGGCUUGAGGGAAAAGGAUUUAUUCGCUUCAGGAUGGACUCGCGUCCAAUUAGCUAGUUGGUGAGGUAACGGCCCACCAAGGCGACGAUUGGUAGCCGGACUGAGAGGUUGAACGGCCACAUUGGGACUGAGACACGGCCCAGACUCCUACGGGAGGCAGCAGUGGGGGAUAUUGCACAAUGGGGGAAACCCUGAUGCAGCGACGCCGCGUGGAGGAAGAAGGUUUUCGGAUUGUAAACUCCUGUCGUUAGGGACGAUAAUGACGGUACCUAACGAGAAAGCACCGGCUAACUACGUG